rnacentral:rRNA from 1 species
UACGGGGGGAGCAAGCGUUGUUCGGAUUUACUGGGCGUAAAGGGCGCGUAGGCGGCGCAACAAGUCACUUGUGAAAUCUCCGGGCUUAACCCGGAGCGGUCAAGUGAUACUGUCGUGCUAGAGUGCGGAAGGGGCUACUGGAAUUCUCGGUGUAGCGGUGAAAUGCGUAGAUAUCGAGAGGAACACCUGCGGCGAAGGCGGGUAGCUGGGCCGACACUGACGCUGAUGCGCGACAGCAUGGGGAGCAAACAGG